rfam:Hordeum vulgare subsp. vulgare, WGS project CAJW01000000 data, contig: morex_contig_1562361
UAUAUACUCCUUUCGUCUUAAUUUUUUUGUCUUAAAUUUGUUUAAAAAUAAACGUAUCUAAAUAUUAAAAUAUAACUAGAUACAUUCAAACCUAGACAAAUGUAAGACAUAAAUUUUAGGACGGAGGGAGUAUAUA